rfam:Clostridiales bacterium GWD2_32_19 gwd2_scaffold_89, whole genome shotgun sequence.
GGAGAAGUACUCAAGUGGCUAAAGAGGAGCCUCUGCUAAGGGCUUAGAUCGUCUUAAAAACGGUGCGAGGGUUCAAAUCCCUCCUUCUCCG